rnacentral:rRNA from 1 species
UACAGAGGUUGCGAGCGUUAAUCGGAUUUACUGGGCGUAAAGCGUGUGUAGGUGGUUGUACAAGUCGGUUGUGAAAUCCCUGGGCUCAACCUGGGAACUGCUUCCGAGACUGUACGACUAGAGAUCGGUAGAGGGCGGUGGAAUUUCCGGUGUAGCGGUGAAAUGCGUAGAUAUCGGAAGGAACACCAGUGGCGAAAGCGACUUCCUGGUCCAAUACUGA